AGCAGCCGCGGUAAUUCCAGCUCCAAUAGCGUAUAUUAAAGUUGUUGCAGUUAAAAAGCUCGUAGUUGAAUUUCGGGGUUAGUAGGUUGGUCAUGCCUCUGGUAUGUACUGGUCUCACUGAUUCCUCCUUCCUGAUGAGCCGUAAUGCCAUUAAUUUGGCGUUGCGGGGAAUUUGGACUGUUACUUUGAAAAAAUUAGAGUGUUUAAAGCAAGCUAACGCUUGAAUACAUUAGCAUGGAAUAAUGAAAUAGGACGUUCGAUCCUAUUUUGUUGGUUUCUAGGAUUGACGUAAUGAUUAAUAGGGAUAGUUGGGGGCAUUAGUAUUCAAUUGUCAGAGGUGAAAUUCUUGGAUUUAUUGAAGACUAACUACUGCGAAAGCAUUUGCCAAGGAUGUUUUCAUUAAUCAAGAACGAAAGUUAGGGGAUCGAAGACGAUCAGAUACCGUCGUAGUCUUAACCAUAAACUAUGCCGACUAGGGAUCGGAUGAUGUUAAUUUUUUAAUGACUCA
rnacentral:rRNA from 1 species